CAAAAAGAUGAUUUUUGUUCGAGACAAGUCAAUUUUAACAUCAUUCCGGCAAGGCGACUGCGGCUGAAUCGAGGAAUUGCAAUCACGACGACAUAUGUAGUAGUUGACAGUUCCAGUUUCUAGCGAAAUGGGCGAGAUUUCAAGUUCUGGGUAUAAGGAUUAUGUCGCUGGGUUACUCGCUGGAGUGGCAGCUGUUGCAACCGGUCAUCCCUUUGACACUGUUAAGGUCAAGCUUCAGACGCACAACACAGAAGCGCAUCUAGUUCAGUACAGAAAUGGAUUGCAUUGCACUGCUAGGAUAUUAAAGACCGAAGGAAUCAAAGGACUUUAUAGAGGAGCAACAUCAUCUUUUGCUGGGAUGGCUUUGGAAGGAUCUCUAUUUUUCGGCAUUUAUUCCCAAACAAAAAAGUACCUUCAGGGGGGCAUGCAAAGCGGUGCACCACGGCCUCAAGUUAUAAUACCAUCUGCAGCUUUUGCCGGUGCCAUAAAUAGUUUUGUAUUAGGUCCAACAGAACUGAUUAAGUGUAGGAUGCAGAUCCAAGGCACCGACUCCUUAGUUCCGAUGUCAAGUAGAUACAGUAGUCCCCUUGAUUGUGCCCUUAAAACUUUACAAAGUGAAGGGGUGAAAGGAAUUUUUCGUGGAAGUGGUACGACAUUGCUUAGAGAAUCUAUAGGGAAUGCUACUUUUUUCAGUGUAUACGAAUACAUGCGUUAUCACAUGCAUUCACGUAUCAAACCCGCUUCUUCGAAUUACAACAAUCUGAUUGAAAUUGGAAUUGGGGUUGUUACUGGUGGUGUUAGUGGUGUGGCUUUUUGGUUGGUAGUUAUGCCCCUUGACGUGGCAAAGACUCUAAUUCAGACAAAUCCUGAUAAAAACUGUCCAAGAAAUCCUUUUACAAUCUUGAGUUCAUUUUUUUGUUUAUGUUUUCUAGAUCUAUAAGAGGACUGGUUUGAAGGGGUGCUAUGCAGGUCUAGGUCCCACGGUAAGUCGAGCAUUUCCUGCUAAUGCAGCAACAAUUGUCACUUGGGAGCUAGCAAUGAAAAUGCUAGGCAUUAGGCAUGACUGAGACAAUACACCAAUAAUACAGCAAAGCUCAAAUACGCUUUCACGAACCUCAUUUUACACACUAGAACAAAGUUGGAUGUAGAGAGGAAAGCUUAUAAUGGAUUGCAUUUGAAGAUCUUCAAAUUUUCAUUUUUUUUUCCUUAAAUUUUUUGCAUGUGUGGACAACAUUUGUAACACCCCGUUUUCCCAAUAUAAAAAUUUCUUAA